rnacentral:rRNA from 1 species
AGAGUUUGAUCCUGGCUCAGGAUGAACGCUGGCGGCGUGCCCAACACAUGCAAGUCGAACGAAGCACUUUUACCAGAUUCUUCGGAAGAAGGUGACUGUGACUGAGUGGCGGACGGGUGAGUAACGCGUGGGUAACCUGCCUCAUACAGGGGGAUAACAGUUAGAAAUGACUGCUAAUACCGCAUAAGACCACGGAGUCGCAUGACUCAGUGGGAAAAACUCCGGUGGUAUGAGAUGGACCCGCGUCUGAUUAGGUAGUUGGUGGGGUAACGGCCCACCAAGCCGACGAUCAGUAGCCGACCUGAGAGGGUGACCGGCCACAUUGGGACUGAGACACGGCCCAAACUCCUACGGGAGGCAGCAGUGGGGAAUAUUGCACAAUGGGGGAAACCCUGAUGCAGCGACGCCGCGUGAGCGAAGAAGUAUUUCGGUAUGUAAAGCUCUAUCAGCAGGGAAGAAAAUGACGGUACCUGACUAAGAAGCACCGGCUAAAUACGUGCCAGCAGCCGCGGUAAUACGGAGGAUGCGAGCGUUAUCCGGAUUUAUUGGGUUUAAAGGGUGCGUAGGCGGAAUAUUAAGCCUGAGGUAAAAAUUCGGGGCCCAACCCCGUCCCGCCUUGGGAACUGGUAUUCUAGAGUGGUUGAGAAGUAUGCGGAAUGCGUGGUGUAGCGGUGAAAUGCAUAGAUAUCACGCAGAACGCCGAUUGCGAAGGCAGCAUACCGGCAGCCCACUGACGCUGAGGCACGAAAGCGUGGGGAUCAAACAGGAUUAGAUACCCUGGUAGUCCACGCAGUAAACGAUGGAUGUUAGCUGUUCGGAGCGAAUGAGUUCUGAGUGGCACAGCGAAAGCGUUAAACAUCCCACCUGGGGAGUACGCCGGCAACGGCGAAACUCAAAGGAAUUGACGGGGGCCCGCACAAGCGGAGGAACAUGUGGUUUAAUUCGAUGAUACGCGAGGAACCUUACCCGGGCUCAAACGGCACAGUGAUACUUUUGAAAGGAGGUAGCUCUACGGAGACUGUGCCGAGGUGCUGCAUGGUUGUCGUCAGCUCGUGCCGUGAGGUGUCGGCUUAAGUGCCAUAACGAGCGCAACCCCUAUUGUCAGUUGCCAGCAGGUAAAGCUGGGGACUCUGACGAGACUGCCGGCGCAAGCUGAGAGGAAGGCGGGGAUGACGUCAAAUCAGCACGGCCCUUACGUCCGGGGCGACACACGUGUUACAAUGGCAGGCACAGCGGGAAGCCACCCGGCGACGGGGAGCGGAACCCGAAAGCCUGUCUCAGUUCGGAUCGGAGUCUGCAACUCGACUCCGUGAAGCUGGAUUCGCUAGUAAUCGCGCAUCAGCCAUGGCGCGGUGAAUACGUUCCCGGGCCUUGCACACACCGCCCGU